CUCGUCCACCGCCGGCUUCAUCUCCCCCAAGGCGUUCCGGGUGUCCCUGGCCCACUUCCGGCCAUCUGCCCGCCUCUUCCGGUACGCAUCCUGCCGCGGCACGUCUAGACGCCGUAGGAUCGCCGACUCUAUGGAGAAAAGAAACCGGAGGCAGAUGCAAUACCUCCCUCAUCCUGCACAGGCUUGGCCCCUGCAAAGAAGGAGGAGAGCGGUCAGCCAGGAGAGCCUCAGAGCAGGGCCCUGCCGAGCACCAGCUGCCCCGAGGGGCACGAAGAGGAACAAAGCAGCCACUCACCCACCAGAGGCACCAGCAAGAGGCAGAGGGCCACCCCGGGCAGCAGGCAGGUCUUCAUCUUCCCCAGGCACAUCCCCCCGCGACCGAAGGACUGGGUCAGGUCCACCUGCAGCAGGAGGAACCAGAAAGGUGGGGCCACCCACCCCCGGGGGCCCCAGCUCUUCCCGCCACCCCCAAAGUGGCAGCUCCUGGAAGAAGCUCCAGUGGAAAGACAAGUUCCCAGUGUUUUCACAGCAAUUUCAGUUUCCGUGGCUUCCAGCCAUUAUUCUGAGGCUAACCCAUGUUUCAUUGGCCUUAAUUUUAACAAUUUAAGAAACUGCACCCUUCCCUCCCCCCCAAUCAACUGCCUGUCCGAGGUUACCUGGCCGCUCCUGUGCCUCAGCCUCAGUCCACAGCCCGAUGGGCGUCAGCCACCAGCACACAGGCUCCUCUUUAUAAAAGGCCGGACAAGGACGGAGACGUCACCUACGGGAACCGUCAAACUGAGUGUAUUUCAUCUCCUGCCAGAGACUGAGGGCGCCGGUGGCCCUGCUGGCAGUGGAAUCCCACGGGGGCACUUUUGCAAUCUCAUCCAAAGAUGAAAUUGGGAGAAAAACAUGCUUGGACAGGCCCCUUUGGAGGGUUUUAGAAUGAAUUCAACACUGGCACUCCCUCUGCGCCAAGAGAGAAAGAUGUUCUGAGUUUGACAUUGGGGCUGACAUCCCCCCCUCACAGGAGCAGGGUAAUCACAGAGCUGCCCUGGAGACCGGGAGGCAGGAUGGGACCCCCAGAGAGCCCUGGAUCAGGGGCCCCCACCGCAGAACAGGCUGAGCCGAGUCGCAGGCAGGAAGUGGGGGUGACUAGCCCAACUUUGCAUCUGCAGACCAGCGCCUCCUGCUUAUGUAAGCACAGUGAUUGAAUCUGUGUUGGGAAGGGAGCUGUUCCAGGGUCUCUGUGGGUCAGGCUGCCCUGAUUAAACCCACGAUGGUAGCCACGCCCCCUGGCCCUGCCCGAGGGGUCCCAUCGCCCACUGAGUCCAGGAGCAUGUCCAGGGCAGCAGUCCCCAGCAUCAGUGCGAGUCACCACAGAGGGCUUCCUCGCCCACAUGUUCCUCACAGCCACAGAGCACCGCAUGUCGCUGGGGGAGGUGGGGAAGGGUGGCAAGCAGGUCCUGGGUGAUAGAUCCGUCCAGCACACACCUGGGCUCCCCAAGCCUUUGGGCACCUGCCCUUUCCAGGGACAAACAGUCUGGCCUCUCAGCCUCCUUCUGCAUCGGCCCCCUUGUCAACGAGCCACUCCCCAUCGCCAGGAAAUCCAGAAUCUCUGCCGAGUGGACCCAAGCCAGGCCUCGGGUCAAUGCAGUCUUAUAUCACCUCCAUCCCGGCCCCCAUAUCUGUUCCCUGGGUUUCUGUUGACAUAAAUGGUCACAUGUGGUGACUCCUGGGUCCCUCAUCUUCUAGGUCACAUCUAACCCUCAGGAUCUGGUCUUAGAUCUACAAGCAGAGACACGGUGGACUUGGCCGGAGGGGAGCCAGCAGCCCCUUGCAAGACAAGUACUUCAGGGGAGACUAUGCAGGUUCUUCAGUUGAGGGGGGACUGGCCCCCAGAUGGGAAGGAAGGAUGGCUUCUCUGGACAAAGGAGGUUCAGCAGAAUUUAGAGGGUUCAGGUCCCCAGCUUCAUCAGAGUCUGCCCACAUGUCCCCAUUCAAGUGAAAAAUGAAAAUAAAAUUACAUGUACUGCA